rnacentral:rRNA from 1 species
UUGGGCUAAAGCGUCGUAGCUGGCCGCGCAAGUCGUCGGGAAAUCCACUCGCUUAACGAGUGGGCGUCCGGCGAAAACUGUGCGGCUUGGGACCGGAAGAUCCAAGGGGUACGUCCGGGGUAGGAGUGAAAUCCUGUAAUCCUGGACGGACCACCGAUGGCGAAAGCACCUUGGAAGGACGGAUCCGACAGUGAGGGACGAAAGCUAGGGUCUCGAACC